rnacentral:rRNA from 1 species
AUUGAACGCUGGCGGCAGGCCUAACACAUGCAAGUCGAACGAGUGGCGGACGGGUGAGUAAUGUCUGGGAAACUGCCUGAUGGAGGGGGAUAACUACUGGAAACGGUAGCUAAUACCGCAUACCAUCGGAUGUGCCCAGAUGGGAUUAGCUAGUGGGUGGGGUAAAGGCUCACCUAGGCGACGAUCCCUAGCUGGUCUGAGAGGAUGAACAGCCACACUGGAACUGAGACACGGCCCAGACUGCGACGGGGGGCAGCAGUGGGGAAUAUUGCACAAUGGGGGAAAGCCUAAUGCGGCCAGGCCGCGUGUAUGACAAAGGCCUUCGGGUUGUAAAGUACUUUCAGCGGGGAGGCGUUACCCGCAGAAGAAGCACCGGCUAACUCCGUGCCAGCAGCCGCGGUAAUAC